GCUUCGGCUGGGUUUUCCGACCGUUUGGCCGGUGGUUUGGCUCCGGUUUGGCCAUAGGCAGACUCAGCAUCAAAAAAUGAGCCAGGGGGAGAAACUUUACCUCGAUCGGCGGUCGAAAACUUCCCUGGUGUGGCGGCGGGUGGCGGUGGCCGGCUCCUCCGGCGUUUGGUUCUUCUUCUCCGGCGAGGCACUAGCGGCUAGGGUUU
rnacentral:lncRNA from 1 species